rnacentral:rRNA from 1 species
CACGUAGGCACCAAGCGUUGUCCGGAUUUAUUGGGCGUAAAGAGCUCGUAGGCGGUUGAGUAAGUCGGGUGUGAAAACUCUGGGCUUAACCCAGAGCCGCCACCCGAUACUGCUCUGACUUGAGUUCGGUAGGGGAGCAGGGAAUUCCUAGUGUAGCGGUGAAAUGCGCAGAUAUUAGGAGGAACACCGGUGGCGAAGGCGGGUCUCUGGGCCGAUACUGACGCUGAGGAGCGAAAGCGUGGGGAGCGAACAGG